CCUACGGGAGGCAGCAGUGAGGAAUAUUGGUCAAUGGGCGCGAGCCUGAACCAGCCAAGCAGCGUGAAGGAUGACUGCUCUACGGGUUGUAAACUUCGUUUAUAAAGGAGUAAAGUGAGGCACGUGUGCCUUUUUGUCUGUACUGUAUGAAUAAGGAUCGGCUAACUCCGUGCCAGCAGCCGCGGUAAUACGGAGGAUCCGAGCGUUAUCCGGAUUUAGUGGGUUUAAAGGGAGCGUAGAUGGGUUGUUAAGUCAGUUGUGAAAGUUUGCGGCUCAAACGUAAAAUUGCAAUUGAUACUGGCAGUCUUGAGUACAGUUGAGGUAGGCGGAAUUCGUGGUGUAGCGGUGAAAUGCUUAGAUAUCACGAAGAACUCCGAUUGCGAAGGCAGCUUACUAACCUGCCACUGACAUUGAUGCUCGAAAGUGUGGGUAUCAAACAGGAUUAGAUACCCGAGUAGUC
rnacentral:rRNA from 1 species